AAAUUAUUAGAGGAGGGGGAGAAAUGGAGAGAGCCACGUGAGUGUGGAGAGGAAUGUGGAACAAGGAACAUAAGGCAGAGACAGAUGGUGGAAAAUAAAUAUGGGGGAGAGAGAGAGAGGUGAACAGAGUUAGACGAGGCAGGCAUAGAAAACUAGAGUGGGAAGAGAAAUGUGGGAAGGAGAGAAAGGUGGGUGAAGAAAGAGAACAAUAUGAAAGGGGAAGAACGAAUUGUCUCUGAUUUACAGGAUGGUUCUAUUUUUCACCUUUUUAUUUUGACUGCCUUCUUGUGCAGGAGGACAUUCCUAACCCUACUGAGUUCUUCCUAAAAUCCAAAGGGCUUCAUGAGAAGAAAUCCUAGCUGCCCAAAAAAGCUUCAAGGAAUAAUAAUUGUUAUCAGGAUAAUGAUACAGACCAAGCAGAGACACGGAAAUGUAUUUUCUUCUAAAGAUGUAGGAUGCAACCUAUCAAUGUGACACUAGAGGGAGCAAUAAUCUAAAUUCCCAAGAUUGGAUCAGCGAUGGAAAACCGUUUCUCUAUCAGUGGCCAAGGACCAUGGGUAUAAAAUCAAUUAAAAAUCAUCUUUUUACAGUGAACCUUAAAAAUCAUCAUUAUAGUAAGCCUUAAAAUAAAAAUAUUUGAGAUUAAAAA